rnacentral:rRNA from 1 species
AACGAACGCUGGCGGCAGGCCUAACACAUGCAAGUCGGACGCCCCUUCGGGGGAGUGGCAGACGGGUGAGUAACGCGUGGGAACCUUCCCUGUGGUACGGAAUAACUCAGAGAAAUUUGAGCUAAUACCGUAUACGCCCUUCGGGGAAAGAUUUAUCGCCAUAGGAUGGGCCCGCGUCGGAUUAGCUUGUUGGUGAGGUAAUGGCUCACCAAGGCGACGAUCCGUAGCUGGUCUUAGAGGAUGAUCAGCCACACUGGGACUGAGACACGGCCCAGACUCCUACGGGAGGCAGCAGUGGGGAAUAUUGGACAAUGGCGCAAGCCUGAUCCAGCCAUGCCGCGUGAGUGACGAAGGCCUUAGGGUUGUAAAGCUCUUUGGCGGGGACGAUAAUGACGGUACCCGCAGAAUAAGCCCCGGCUAACUUUCGUGCCAGCCGCCGCGGUAAU